AGGAUGAACGCUGGCGGCGUGCCUAAGACAUGCAAGUCGAGUGGGUUUAGACCCACGGCGAACGGGUGAGUAAUACCUAGGAACUUUCUUUAAGUGGAGCAUAACCCAUAGAAAUGUGGGAUAAUACUCCAUGUGAUAGCAAUAUCAAAGUCGCAAGACGCUUAAAGUGAGGCCUGGGCACCAUCAGCUAGUUGGUAAGGUAAUGGCUUACCAAGGCUAUGACGGUUAGGGGUCCCGAGAGGGAUAACCCCCACACUGGAACUGCGACACGGUCCAGACUCCUACGGGAGGCAGCAGUUUGGAAUUUUGGACAAUGGGCGAAAGCCUGAUCCAGCGACGCCGCGUGGACGAUGAAGGCCUUCGGGUCGUAAAGUCCUUUUGCUCGGGAACAAUAUUUUGAGCGUACCGAGAGAAUAAGAGGUUGCUAACUCUGCGCCAGCAGCCGC
rnacentral:rRNA from 1 species